GGAUCCAGACUUUGAUCAUGGCUCAGGAUGAACGCUAGCUACAGGCUUAACACAUGCAAGUCGAGGGGAAACGACAUCGAAAGCUUGCUUUUGAUGGGCGUCGACCGGCGCACGGGUGAGUAACGCGUAUCCAACCUGCCCAUCACUUGGGGAUAACCUUGCGAAAGUAAGACUAAUACCCAAUGAUAUCUCUAGAAGACAUCUGAAAGAGAUUAAAGAUUUAUCGGUGAUGGAUGGGGAUGCGUCUGAUUAGCUUGUUGGCGGGGUAACGGCCCACCAAGGCGACGAUCAGUAGGGGUUCUGAGAGGAAGGUCCCCCACAUUGGAACUGAGACACGGUCCAAACUCCUACGGGAGGCAGCAGUGAGGAAUAUUGGUCAAUGGACGAGAGUCUGAACCAGCCAAGUAGCGUGCAGGAUGACGGCCCUAUGGGUUGUAAACUGCUUUUAUAAGGGAAUAAAGUGAGAGUCGUGACUCUUUUUGCAUGUACCUUAUGAAUAAGGACCGGCUAAUUCCGUGCCAGCAGCCGCGGUAAUACGGAAGGUCCGGGCGUUAUCCGGAUUUAUUGGGUUUAAAGGGAGCGUAGGCCGGAGAUUAAGCGUGUUGUGAAAUGUAGACGCUCAACGUCUGCACUGCAGCGCGAACUGGUUUCCUUGAGUACGCACAAAGUGGGCGGAAUUCGUGGUGUAGCGGUGAAAUGCUUAGAUAUCACGAAGAACUCCGAUUGCGAAGGCAGCUCACUGGAGCGCAACUGACGCUGAAGCUCGAAAGUGCGGGUAUCGAACAGGAUUAGAUACCCUGGUAGUCCGCACGGUAAACGAUGGAUGCCCGCUGUUGGUCUGAAUAGGUCAGCGGCCAAGCGAAAGCAUUAAGCAUCCCACCUGGGGAGUACGCCGGCAACGGUGCAACUCAAAUGAAUUGACGG
rnacentral:rRNA from 1 species